UACGUAGGGUCCGAGCGUUGUCCGGAAUUAUUGGGCGUAAAGGGCUCGUAGGCGGUCCGUCACGUCGGGAGUGAAAACUCAGGGCUCAACCCUGAGCGUGCUUCCGAUACGGGCGGACUAGAGGUAUGCAGGGGAGAACGGAAUUCCUGGUGUAGCGGUGGAAUGCGCAGAUAUCAGGAGGAACACCGGUGGCGAAGGCGGUUCUCUGGGCAUUACCUGACGCUGAGGAGCGAAAGCAUGGGGAGCAAACAGG
rnacentral:rRNA from 1 species